rnacentral:rRNA from 1 species
UACGAAGGGGGCUAGCGUUGCUCGGAAUCACUGGGCGUAAAGGGUGCGUAGGCGGGUUUUUAAGUCAGGGGUGAAAUCCUGGAGCUCAACUCCAGAACUGCCUUUGAUACUGAGGAUCUUGAGUUCGGGAGAGGUGAGUGGAACUGCGAGUGUAGAGGUGAAAUUCGUAGAUAUUCGCGAGAACACCAGUGGCGAAGGCGGCUCACUGGCCCGAUACUGACGCUGAGGCACGAAAGCGUGGGGAGCAAACAGG